GAAGUUGAGUCAGUGAUAAGGGAGCUGACUCCUGCUGUCUCCCACACCCAUAUCUCUUCGUAUCUCUUCUCACCCUUGAACCUGCCAAGCUCUUCCUGCCUUAGAGCCUCUGCCCUGUGGUCCUAUCUUUCUCUCUGUCUCUCACUCAGAUGACUUCUCAUGUUUUGCCCUGCUCUUUUUAGGUGGUGAAUGUUGUCUGUCCCUACUAAGUGUUGCCGGCCCCUGCUACGCUCUAAGACCCGCUGACGCCUCCUCACACAGGUCUGGGAUGUGAAGGUUUAGAAGAUAAAGCUGAACUCAGUGCCUGGUGGAUCCUGAGUCUCAUAGAACUCCACACUGUUGCUUGUCACUCUGUCCCUGAUGGCCUGGUGCCCAGAGCUUGGCUUUGGUUAGGCUGGGACAGGAAGCUCUCAAUCCUGCUGACAACAACCCCACCUGAGACAUGGGAGGAAGCAGUUAGCUACUGGUCCCAUCACCACGCAUGCCCGUGGGGUGUACCUGCACACACAGGCUCACAGGAGGAUGUGACCCAUCCAAGGCCCAUCCAAGGCCACAAGGACUGUCAGCAUGGGAACCCAGCCAAGGCACAUCUCUGUGCUCACCACUGCUGGUAGGGCCAGGCUCCAGUCACCGCCAUUCGCUGAUGGGCUGACAUACAAUAAGCACUCAAUAAACGUAGCUACUAGAGUGUGUCUCAGACCUCAUCCUCAUACUUGGCACGUGAGCGCGCGUCAGGAAGCAUCCUGGGGUAUAGCAUGCUGUUGAACUUACGUCUGAUUUACAUCAGACCAUACGUCUGUGAGUCCAGAAGAAGCUCCUGUUCACCUCCAGCAACGCACACCACUCCAUGGUGAUAUGGGAGAGUCCAAGUUGCAAUUUAAGCUUUAAGAGCUGUGCCUAAGAGAUCCAUGAAACAAAAUGCCUCUGAUCUGCAAGCCCCUUGGCCAAGGACAGAUCGUUCCUGAAAUGCUGGAGGCUGUUGUUUAUGGGGGAUAACAAGCCACAUUUUUUCAUUCCCCUAACCAAGUUUGUUUGACCCAUCUGCACUGAUGUGCUUGAUCAGAUGUGGGCGGGAGGUUGACAGGGUAGAGGUGCAUCAGGAUGUAUGCUUGCCCCUGAUUGGACCUGAUGGGAAAUGCAACGAAUUACGGGUUUUCCUUCUUAAGCCGUUACAAACUGAUUCUGGGCCAUUUUCCUGGAACCUGAGUGUGGACCUAGCCAGAGUCCAUCCACCUGGUCAGUAUUUAAUUAAAGGAGGCUUCAAUUUUGGCUUCAA